rnacentral:rRNA from 1 species
UUCCGGUUGAUCCUGCCGGACCUUACUGCUAUCGGGAUAAGACUAAGCCAUGCGAGUUGUGCGCUCUCAAGCUAUGUUGAGAGAGCAGCAAACGGCUCAGUAACACGUAGUUAACCUACCCUCAGGACAGGGAUACCCCCGGGAAACUGGGGAUAAUAUCUGAUAGGCGGAAGCGCCUGGAAUGGUCUUCCACUGAAAGGGUGUUAAAAGCAUGCUUUUAGCACUGCCUGAGGAUGGGACUGCGGCCGAUCAGGUUGUUGGUGGGGUAACGGCCUACCAAGCCUAUAACCGGUACGGGCCCUGAGAGGGGGAGCCCGGAGAUGGGAACUGAGAAACGGUCCCAGGUCCUACGGGACGCAGCAGGCGCGAAACCUCCACAAUGCACGAAAGUGCGAUGGGGUUAUCCCGAGUGCUUUCCGAUGAGGAUGGCUUUUCCUCGGUGUAAAAAGGCGAGGGAAUAAAGGGGGGGCAAGACUGGUGUCAGCCGCCGCGGUAAUACCAGCUCCCUGAGUGGUAGGGAUGAUUAUUUGGCCUAAAGCGUUCGUAGCCGGCUUAGCAAGUCUUCCGUUAAAUCCAGCGACUCAAUCGUUGGUCUGCGGAAGAUACUACUAGGCUAGAGGACGGGAGAGGUUGACGGUAUUCCCAGUGUAGGGGUGAAAUCCAAUAAUCCUGGGAGGACCACCAGUGGCGAAGGCGGUCAACGAGAACGUGCCUGACGGUGAUGGACGAAAGCUGGGGGAGCGAACCGGAUUAGACACCCGGGUAGUCCCAGCCGUAAACGAUGCGGGCUAGGUGUUAGGGCAGCUACGAGCUGCUCUAGUGCCGCAGAGAAGUCGUUAAGCCCGCCGCCUGGGGAGUACGAUCGCAAGAUUGAAACUUAAAGGAAUUGGCGGGGGAGCACCACAAGGGGUGAAGCCUGCGGUUCAAUUGGAGUCAACGCCGGG